UUCGACCUGGGAAGCCAGGAACCUAAGCAAACAUCUGGCUGCUGGGCUUUCGUUUGCUUUCCCUGAAAUCCAACAGACCCACCAAGUCACUAGCAAACACUGACAGCCGGUCAUGCUGGUCCUGGCUUAUAAAUCUCUUUGACUGCUGACCCAGUACAGGUGUUUUUCAGUCUCUUUUUGGUCUGCUUUCUGGGGAAGUGUUCCCCAGCCUCACCCUGAGCAAAUGUUCCUGAUGCAGGACGCUGCAAGCCUGUGUGUAAUGUCCUGGGCAACGACCGGGGAAGAGGAAAGCUAUUUAAAGGGCUGUUCAACCACUUGGUGCGUGCAGCCAGCCCGGUCAGCCCAGCCUUCAUAAUUCCCAUCGCCUGGCUGUCACUGGUAAUAAGAGGAGACGUCCGUGAUAUGACUUACUAGGCUGAUCUUUAAAAGCUGUGACGGCCCCCUCUAAUUUUAGCCUCAGCCAACUCGGAGAGCACGAGGGGACCAUUAAUCUUACGGAGACUCGAAGCCGGUGGGGAAAACUCUGGAUUGGGGGACAGAAACCAGGUGUGGAUUUUCGUCUUACGCCUUGAUUGCCCUGAGAGUAGCCGUCCACCUUUGCCAGGGCCCCUCCGUCCACGAGGAAUAAUAAGCAUCUGGCAGGACCCCUGAGAUCAAAUGAGAUCCCUGCGAAGGCAGAGGGUAACGUGUCAAAUGAUUCAUGGCACUUCGGUGACUUGGAGAUUAUCAACCCCUGCUAGGGCAGCCGCUGAGCUCCAGGUCGCUCCAUUCAUUCAUCAGGGAUCCCUUCCUGAACUGAGUAAGUAUGGCCUUUGGAAGCUCUUUAAAAAGCUCUUCAAAAGCUCUCAACCAUGUCAUGGAGAGGCUCCAGUCAUGACUAGGGAAACCUGUCUUGCAUGCGAUCAAUAUUUAAGGCAGCAGUACCUUGAAUCCAGAGUCUUUUUCACAGCGAUUCAUUCAUUCAGCAGAUGUUUAUGACACCCUGUUACAGGCCAGGCUGAGGGGCUGGGGAUGUUCCACUGAAGGUGGCAGCCUCUGGCCCCCGUGGGAUCUUACAUCCUUUAGAAGGAGACCAGAAAGUAGUGCAUUCAGAGAGACCCUUAGAAUCAGCACUAGUUUUAUUUUGAUUCUCAGGUCAGCCAGUCAGGAAUCUUUGCCCUUUCGGACAGAGCUCACCCCCAAUGCGAUACACCAAGCCUUUCUUAAAGCUGUAUCUGUCCAUUUAUAGAUCAGCUUUGCUCAAAAAAAUUGUUUGAGCUAUAGAUACGGUGUUUAAGGAAGAUUAUCACAAAGGAAAACCCCACUGUGCUAUGUUCCUAUUUUCCAGUGGAAGCAGUGAUUUAACCUAUUUGGGUGGACGAUUUUCUCCUCUUCCUUUCUGGCAACACUUCUGCCCUGAAUUGGAAAUGCUUUCCUUGGCCCCCCAAUUGCCAGUAGAGGGCACACGCAGCUUUUGUUGGAGACCAUUCCUGACAGUGCCCAUUUAUACAGCAAGGAAUUUAAAUUGCAUUGAACCUUCCAAAACAAGAAGCUUUUCCUUUUAUGCUCUCUAUUUAUGAGGCUGCUAGAGAAAAAGGAAAGGGAAUUCAGCCUGUUUUUCUUUAACAAAAAAAAAAUAUAUAAUUGUUUUUAUAGAUACAUUAAAAAAUUUCCCUGUUAGGUCUAUACACAAAAUGCAAAUUUUAAUAAACCACACAGAGACUCUCGGACAGAUUAGCAUAAGAAACGUUAAACAUUAGAUGAUAGGGUUAACUCACUAUGAUCUAUUUCCCGUUUAUUCACAGAAGGAAAAAGAAGUUUUUGUGCUUUUGCAAAAUGCAGUUUUUUAAUAUUUAAAAAAGGAAGAGCUCUUCCUGUGGUUUCUGACCAAACCAUGAAAUGUCUUUCAUUUUAUUUUGAUAGUGUCUGAUGAAUUCAGGGAAAGACCGGGGGUUGAAUUUCCAACCCUCCACAAAUAAUCCGUGAAUAUUGCCUUGGUUCUGACCUCAGCGGGGAGGACCAGGAAGUAUUUCCUUUCUCGUCUCUCUCUCCGCCUCAGAGGAAAACUCUGGAAUAUUUAAAGAGAAGAGAGGUUAAAGAACCGCCAGCACUAGUUCGGCUGCUCUUCAGAAAGAUCAGGCAUCUCCUUGGCCGACCACCCGAUUGACUGGCACUCACCUUAAGAGCAGGGACUUAAGUACUCCACAGGCAAAAAGAGGAGAAAGAUGUUUCUGGAAGGAGGGUGAGCUGUUAGUUUAUCACUCCUUUUAUUCUCAAGGUCAAUUUCUGUCCCCUUUUCACUGUCUUCCAAUAUUUGCUAAAUGCCGUGGAAAUUCCAGGUAUUUGAUGUAUCCCUUGCCUUCAUGGAAUUUGCAAUCUUACUUGUGAUUAAGAUUCACAAAGUGAAACACCAAAACCCUUUUUUUUUUUUUUUUUUAGGGCUGCAAGAGCGGCAUAUGGAGGUUCCCAGGCUAGGGAUCGAAUCAGAGCUGUAGCCGCCGGCCUGAACCACAGCCACAGCCACACAGGAUCCAAACCUACACCACAGGUCGCAGCAGUGCUGGAUCCUCGAUUCACUGAGCAAGGCUGGGGAUAGAAACUGCAUCUUCACGGACACUAGCUGGAUUCAUUUCCACGUCGCCACAACAGGAACUCCAAAACCUCCUAUUUUAUAGAUGUGGAAAUUGAGACUGUGAGCGGGGACAAGGAGCUCCACCUUUCCAUGCCUGUGAUUUUAAGUUUCCACUGGGACGUGAAUUAGGUGGCUAAGAGGGCCAACAUUUCACGAUUUCUGAAUUACAGGACAAUAGUUGUUAAAACAGAAUUCUCUCAGAGGUGCCAUCUAAGUUAAUUCCAUUUUAAGUUUCAGGUGAAAGUGGCUCAAUCCCCUGUCCUUCACACAGCCUGUGCUUCCUCUAAUGCAUCAGGGAAUUUGGAGGGGCAGUGACUUGUAUUCCGGCUGGUGGCCCCUGGAUCUGAGCUCCUGCUGGCCCUGAGUUCCAGUUUGUGAAUCAUCUCACUUUAAGCAUAUGCUGAUCCUUUUCUGUGUCAACGACCCCUGAUCAGACUCAUCCUGAUCCCUUCAUUCUCUGAAAUUCCACUGGCCCUAAAAUAUGUGAGUAGUGACUGAACUAAAGCUUCAAGACAAUGGAAGGGGUUCAUGCCCAGAGCUGCAGUAACUUAAAAUACUGGGCACCCUUACCUUGGGGGGGAUUUUUCAGAGAUUCAAUUUCUCCAAUGGCCCCUCGCCAUGUUGUUCUGCUGUCUCUCCUCCCUUCUCUGGUCUCCAGCCCCCUCCUCACUGGAUUCUCACCUCCUUUCCCAAACACUCGACCCAUCUGUCCAUUCCACUGGCUUCUUUAAGUCCAGAGCCCACGCCGGGGCUUCACUUCCUUCAAGCCUUCAAAGUGUUUUCCUUAAAAGGAACUUUGGUGACUACAUUUAGAAUUACAAAAUGCAUACUUUUUACUAAAUUGGGGACUUGGGCUCUGAGUUUCCUAGUGCCCAAAGCAAAGAGGAGACAUAUCCAUUACAAGGCUCAUUGUGCUUAUAAAUUCAAAAUAGAGCCGCGGUUGUUUGGCAUAAGCACGACUUUUUUCUGGCUCUGAAAACUCUCCUGCGGUUCAUGAUCGGGGGGCGGAGGGUGGGGGGAAUAGUGCAGGUAUUACCCCCUUACCUGCCUCUACUGAAGUGGACCUAGCUCAACUAGUGACUUUUUGCAAGUUUAAGUCCACUAGAAGAAUAGCAUUAACUCCAUACACUGAAAGCAUUUAUUGAGUGCCAGGAAUGGCUCCAAGUGCUGAAUAGAGAGGAACUUCAGACAGGCGGUCCCUGACCUUGGAGCUCACAGCCGAGGUUGGCACGGGCAAGCAGGAGUCAGCUUUGUUGGGUAAUGUGGUAUCCGUGGGAAAACACAGGAGGGCCUAGAUUAAUCUUGAAGGAUUGGCAAAGGCUUCCUGGAGGAAGUCGUACCUAAGAUGAGGCUUAAAAGGGAAGUAGGAUUAAUCAGAGCAAAAAGGAGGGACACAAGUUCCAGGCAGAGAGAAGAGCCUGGAUGAAAACGCCUGGAGGUGAGAGGGACAAUACACAGGGUUAGGACUGUAGCAGAGGCUGUCCUGUGGCACCCGGAUCCCCUUCUCUGAGACAGCGCCCCCCACCACCACUGUGUCAGCUGCUAAGGGCUCAGCAGCCCCCUUCCCAGGGGAAUUGUUUUUAGCUGAGAGGAGGCUCCACCUCAUCUGGGAAGUUUCAGGCCACCGCCCCCGCCAGCACCCCAGGGCGGCCAAUGAAUGACUGAUACAGGGCUUCCAAAGGCUGGUCCUCUUGCCUCAAGGGGGAGGGAGUCACACCGGGCAGUUUAUGCUCCAGCGCCAGCCCCCUCGUGGAUCAGGCCAAGGCUGGGUCUCCCCUGAGACCAUCCUGGUGCAGCAUCAGCCUCCCGCUAUGACAAGCGCUCCCUCAAAAAUGGCAUGUUCCCUAACCCCUGUCUUGGGCUGUGUUUCUGGAGAACCUGAGCUAAGACAGCAAUAGGGGGAAAUGGCCAAGAUCGAAAUCUCUAGAUGCGCUAGGUCCAAAUUCGAGCCCCAUCCACUAGCAAGUUAGGGCUCUACUGACUUAAGUUACUACUGUUUACAACAAAAAAUUUUAUAUAUACCCAUUUAGGUUUCUGAUGACUAGGAUCACCGUUCAUAAAACUUAACCCUGACCUAGUCCAACUUCCUGCACUUGUAAACAAGGACACCAAAGACCCAGCAAAUUAUGACAUUUGUGUAAAAUGCCUCUGAGCCUCAAUCUCUUUGGAAAGUGGGCAUAAUGGAGUUCCUGCUGUGGCUCAGUGGGUUAAGACCCUGACAUGGUGUCUGUGAGGAUGCAAGUUUGAUCCCUGGCCUCACUCAGUGGGUUAAGGAUCCGGCAUUGCUGUGAGCUGUGGUGCAGGUCGCAGACAUGGCUGUGAUCCAGCAUCGCUGUGACUGUGGCUGUGGCUGGCAGCUGCAGCUCCGAUUUGCCCCCUAGCCUGCGAACUUCCCUAUGUCAUGGGUGCCACC
rnacentral:lncRNA from 1 species